UUGAUUUCUAGAAAAAAGGGAAGAAGAAAAAAAGACAUUAGUUGCAGGUAUUGACUUAUGUAAAACAAAAGGAAAAGAAAGAAGAGUUCCACUUACAUUGAGAGUUUACUGACAAUGAAUCCAGGAUGUAUAUUAGGAUGUUGAGACACCAAUUUGAGUUGAUUUAAGAAUUAAUUAAGGAUGAUAUCUAGAGAAAAUACACCAACUACAGGUUCCUGUCAACUGGGGAUAGUUACCAAACGAUUGCCAAUAAUUACAGUCAGAAGAUGCACAGUUAGCCAAAUCAUAAACAACAAUCUGUCUGACAAUCUACGAGAAGCUUCAGCCUCUCCAUAAAUGAGAUUAGAGAAGAAAAAUAGACAUACAGAAGAAUUUACAAAUCGUUGGCAGUUUAAUAGUUGCAUUUUUGCCACUGAUGGGAAGCAGGUUACUAUUCAUGCAUCAGAAAAAAGUGAAAAUAGCCUAAAUUACAAGUACACAUAUGCCGUUUUAACAUGAUUCAAAGAUAAAACCCUGAAUAUAUUGCCUGAUAAGUUAUUCGAGGAUAGUGAUAUACCUUUACCUUUUUCUGAAGAAGAUGUGAAUAAUAAGAAUACUUUCAAUUAUAGGCUCGCACAAGCAAGAAGGGUAGAAAAUGUUUUUGGGACUUUUGUACAAAGCUGCAAGUAUAUUAUAAUUAUUCCUUUAAAUAUAAUGUGGAAUCAGUUGUCAAGAUCGUGAAGGACACAUGUAUCCUAUAUAAUUCUUCGAUGACAGAAAACCCCUUAUUUCUAAAUAUGAUGUAAAAUAAUCAGAACUCUUAAUAUAACAUUGUCAGCUAAUCCAAUUUGGUAGGAUAGGUAAAAAUGCUAUUGCAGAUGCUUUUCAAGUAAGAAAUAUAUUUAUGCAGUUCUUUAAUUUACUUUCUGCUACCAUAUCUUGGCCGACUAAUCAUAUAAGUUUAAGGUUACACGAAUAUGACUAUUGAUAUGGUCUGCUAAACUAAAGAAGUUCAGAAAAAGCAAGCAGGCUAUGUAGAUGUAUUAAAAAGGAUUUUUAUGGAAAACAAAAUUGUUGUGUUAACAUAAGUUAAGAAAAAUAUAUAGUAUUAAGACUAAGUAUGUACAGUUUUAGAUUAUGGUAUAAUUACUGUAUAAAUUGUAAAAUACAGUUAUCAAACUUCCUAUAACACGGUUGGUUAGUACAACACAGAGGAUUGUUCAAAUUUAUUAAAUCUUGCUAUAUAGAAACAAUGUUACAACAAUAUCACGUUAUAGGAGGAUUUUCAGAAAUUUUGCACCGUAUUACAAAAGGGUUGAAUAUACAAACCAUUCUGCAA